rnacentral:lncRNA from 1 species
UGUCUUUGAGGUAGAUAAUUAGAAGGAAUGUAUUGAUCAUUAUUUUCUGAUUAUUUACAAUUUACAUAUCGAGAAUCAUAGUCUAUGCAACAAUUAAUAAAUGUGCUGAUAGAAACAAAUUAACAGAAGGAGUCUAGUUGGAAACAUCGACAAGGUUCCAGUUCUUUUGAGUUAUUGCAAUGUAAGCAGAAGCUCUUUUGUCAAUACCAGGUUCAGCUACCCACCGGCCUCUGUCUUCAUCACUCGGAUAAACUUUGUAAGAUUUAACACAGUCAUCCGUUCCACUUACGUCUUUGCCUCUUCGAGUUCUUGAACUCUUGAAAAUGCUGAAGAUACCGAAUGACUUCUUCUGCCUGCUACCUCCCAUUGUUACUAGGCGCAGAAGCAAACUUUAAGUGUUGGGAGAAAAGUAAGUUUUAUCUGUGUGUGUG